rnacentral:rRNA from 1 species
UUAUACCAAUAUAAAAGUAAUUAUGCUAGAACUAGUAACAAGAAAUUGAAUUUCUCCUAAAUGUGUAUAUAAGCCACUACGGACCACCCACUGGCACUUAACGUCCUUGUAAUCACCAUAAUAACAUCAUUCAAGAAAACCCUAUCAUCCCCAACGUUAACCUUACACCAGAACAUUCCAGGAAAGAUUAAAAAAGAGAGAAGGAACUCGGCAAAUUUUAGCCCCGCCUGUUUACCAAAAACAUCGCCUCUUGACAUAAUAUAAGAGGCCCAGCCUGCCCGGUGACAAAGUUUAACGGCUACGGUACCCUGACCGUACGAAGGUAGCAUAAUCACUUGUUCCUUAAAUAGGGACUCGUAUCAACGGCAUCACGAGGGCUGCACUGUCUCCUCCCUUCAAUCAGUGAAACUGAUCCCCCCGUGAAGAAGCGGGGAUUAAACUAUAAGACGAGAAGACCCCAUGGAGCUUUAAACAACGUGCUCACACUAUACUUAUACACCCACUAACUAAAAGCCCUGAGCACAAGUUUUAGGUUGGGGAGACCGCGGAGAACAACUAAACCUCCACGACAAACGGCCCUAAAGUCCUUAUCCACGAGUCACAGCUCUAAGAAUCAACACACUGAUGAUUAUGACCCGACACUAUUCGAUUAACGAACCAAGUUACCCUGGGGAUAACAGCGCAAUCUACUUCAAGAGCUCAUAUCGACAAGUAGGUUUACGACCUCGAUGUUGG